rnacentral:rRNA from 1 species
AGUAGGAAAGCAGGGGAUCGCAAGACCUUGCGCUGAUUGAGCGGCCGAUAUCAGAUUAGCUAGUUGGUGAGGUAAAAGCUCACCAAGGCGACGAUCUGUAGCGGGUCUGAGAGGAUGAUCCGCCACACUGGAACUGAGACACGGUCCGGACUCCUACGGGAGGCAGCAGUGGGGAAUUUUGGACAAUGGGGGCAACCCUGAUCCAGCCAUGCCGCGUGAGUGAAGAAGGCCUUCGGGUUGUAAAGCUCUUUCAGCCGGGAAGAAAACGCAUGGGUUAAUACCCUGUGUGGAUGACGGUACCGGAAUAAGAAGCACCGGCUAACUACGUGCCAGCAGCCGCGGUAAUACGUAGGGUGCGAGCGUUAAUCGGAAUUACUGGGCGUAAAGCGUGCGCAGGCGGUUUUGUAAGACAGGCGUGAAAUCCCCGGGCUUAACCUGGGAACUGCGUUUGUGACUGCAAGGCUAGAGUACGGCAGAGGGGGGUGGAAUUCCACGUGUAGCAGUGAAAUGCGUAGAGAUGUGGAGGAACACCAAUGGCGAAGGCAGCCCCCUGGGUCGAUACUGACGCUCAUGCACGAAAGCGUGGGUAGCAGACAGGAUUAGAUACCCUGGUAGUCCACGCCCUAAACGAUGUCAACUAGGUGUUGGGAGGGUAAAACCUUUUAGUACCGGAGCUAACGCGUGAAGUUGACCGCCUGGGGAGUACGGCCGCAAGGUUAAAACUCAAAGGAAUUGACGGGGACCCGCACAAGCGGUGGAUGAUGUGGAUUAAUUCGAUGCAACGCGAAAAACCUUACCUACCCUUGACAUGCCAAGAACUUUCCAGAGAUGGAUUGGUGCCCGAAAGGGAACUUGGACACAGGUGCUGCAUGGCUGUCGUCAGCUCGUGUCGUGAGAUGUUGGGUUAAGUCCCGCAACGAGCGCAACCCUUGUCGUUAAUUGCCAUCAUUUAGUUGGGCACUUUAACGAGACUGCCGGUGACAAACCGGAGGAAGGUGGGGAUGACGUCAAGUCCUCAUGGCCCUUAUGGGUAGGGCUUCACACGUCAUACAAUGGUCGGUACAAAGGGUCGCCAAGCCGCGAGGUGGAGCCAAUCCCAGAAAGCCGAUCGUAGUCCGGAUCGCAGUCUGCAACUCGACUGCGUGAAGUCGGAAUCGCUAGUAAUCGUGGAUCAGCAUGUCACGGUGAAUACGUUCCCGGGUCUUGUACACACCGCCCGUCACACCAUGGGAGCGGGUUCCGCCAGAAGUAGGUAGCCUAACCGCAAGGAGGGCGCUUACCACGGCGGGGUUCGUGACUGGGGUGAAGUCGUAACAAGGUA